AGUACGGCGAGUGAAGCGGGAAGAGCUCAAAUUUGAAAUCUUCAAGGUUCUACCUUGACGAAUUGUAGUUUAUAGAAGUGUUUUCUGUUAGUGGAGUGGCAAAAGUUCUUUGGAAUAGGACAUCAUAGAGGGUGAGAAUCCCGUAUUUGGUCAUUCCUCCUAGCGUUGUGAUACACUUUCAACGAGUCGGAUUGUUUGGGAAUGCAGUCCAAAAUGGGUGGUAAAUUUCAUCUAAAGCUAAAUAUUGGCGAGAGACCGAUAGCGAACAAGUACCGUGAGGGAAAGAUGAAAAGAACUUUGAAAAGAGAGUUAAACAGUACGUGAAAUUGUCAAAAGGGAAGCGUUUGACACCAGUGUUGUUUUUCCGAAAAUCAAUUACGAAUGUUUUAUUUUUGAGGAGUUAUGACUUCAUCGGCUUGCUCCUUUCUUUAUGAAACUUUCUUAAUGCACUUUUCGGUUAACAAGUCAACAUCAAUUUCUUUUGUUGUAAAAGGGUAUGAGGAAGGUGGCUUUCUUUUCGGAGAAAGUGUUUAUAGCCUUGUGCCUCUGCAAUCGGAGAGAUUGAGGUCUGCAGCGUAGAUCCUUCGGGGUUAGAUACAUUUGUGCUAAGUUAUAGCUUUUCAUAGACAACUUGUUGACUAUGUUUAGUCUUGUAGCUUACUCGCUGAUGCUAUUUUACCUACGCUUAGGAUGUUGACAAAAUGGUUUUAAACGACCC
rnacentral:rRNA from 1 species